AGCGAGGUUAAAAGUCAUGGGGUGGAAGGGGAAAAAGCCGACUAGUUUUAGUCUUGAUGUGUCUAAAGCAGCAGAAGCACAUGUAAAGAAUAUUGUCAUGGAUACCGUGCAAUCCUUAGUUAAUUUAAGUCCUGUUGAUACUGGAGCAUACCGUGCUUCACAUAUUGUUUCGAUUGGAUCUGCUGAUUUCGGCGUGCGUGAACCUGAAACAAACCCAAUUCAAGAUGCAGCAAUUCAAGCUGUAAAGAUUAAAUUGGGCAAUUUGGUUUAUAUCCAGAACAAUAAAGCUUAUGCACCCCGCUUAGAAAACGGC
rnacentral:rRNA from 1 species